AGCCGCGGGAUGAUUUACUAUCGCACUGGCUGAAUAAGGGAAGUCGGGUGCAAAUCCCGCGUGAGUCCGUCGCCGUAUUUGGGGACAAAUGCCCAGAGCAGGUCACUGUCGCAAGAUGGGAAGACCGGGCAGGAGAAUGAUCCAUAAGCCGGAAUACCUGUAGAAGCCCAUCGGACCUU
rnacentral:ncRNA from 2 species